rnacentral:rRNA from 1 species
AUUGAACGCUGGCGGCAGGCCUAACACAUGCAAGUCGAACGAGUGGCGGACGGGUGAGUAAUGUCUGGGAAACUGCCUGAUGGAGGGGGAUAACUACUGGAAACGGUCGCUAAUACCGCAUACCAUCGGAUGUGCCCCGCUGGGAUUAGCUAGUAGGUGGGGUAAAGGCUCACCUAGGCGACGAUCCCUAGCUGGUCUGAGGGGAGGACCAGCCACACUGGAACUGAGACACGGUCCAGACUCCUACGGGAGGCAGCAGUGGGGAAGAUUGGAAAAGGGGCGAAAGCCUGAUGCAGCAAUGCCGCGGGUAUGAAGAAGGCCUUCGGGUUGUAAAGUACUUUCAGCGGGGAGGCGUUACCCGCAGAAGAAGCACCGGCUAACUACGUGCCAGCAGCCGCGGUAAUAC